GUGAGGCCUUCCAUGGGGAAUCAGCAGCACAUAUACUAAAAUUGGAAUGAUACAGAGAAGAUUAUCAUGGACCCUGGGCAAGGCUAAUUUCUUUUUAGAUAUAUAUAGGAUGAUUCU
ensembl:snRNA U6 U6 spliceosomal RNA